GACGAACGCUAGCGGCGUGCCUAAGGUAUGCAAGUCGAACGGGAGGGGCAACCCUCUAGUGGCGAACGGUCGCGUAACACGUAGACAACCUGCCCCCGCGUGGAGGAUAACAGCGGGAAACUGCUGCUAAUACCGCAUACGGUGGGAAGCGGCAUCGCUUCUUUACUAAAGGAGUAAUUCGCGUGGGGAGGGUCUGCGGCCUAUCAGCUUGUUGGUGGGGUAACGCCUACCAAGGCGGUGACGGGUAGCUGGCUGAGAGGAUGAUCAGCCACAC
rnacentral:rRNA from 1 species